UCGGGCUCAUCCCUACGCUUGCCAUUGUUCAGACUCCGGGCAUGUUUCUCUAGUCUACACAAUACAAGCAAAUAAAAAAAAGUUAAGAAAUUAGGAUGGUGUCGGUCAAUGCAGGUGAGUUCCUAUUUAACCACCAAAAUAAAUUAUUCCUUAUAAAACUGCCUGAACUGUAUCCUUUUCAUGUAACCUACUACAAUCUGUUCAUUCUGGGGCUUGAACAGAAAUGCUAAACAGAAGUUAGAAGAAGUAUAUAUAGCCUAUCAGUUUCAGAUGUGAUGUUGCUUCACUGGGUAAAUCAUCAGACAAUACAAAUCAAGACAAUUAAUCACAGUCGUAGUUACAAUUCAGGUGUGCAGUUGUGGUUAGUUUGGGUUUGAGAACCCCUUAACAAGCCAUGACGCAUUAAUCUGCGCCUGCUGACGACAUAGAUUGCGUGCCCAGUAUCCACUGGGAGGACGGAGCCACAUACGCAAAAGUGUGGAGUUAUUUGACAUUGUACAGGCAUCAGGCAUGUAAUGGCCGGACUGAGCGAAGAGGCGGGAUUCAGGGUCAAAAUGGCGGACUGGACUCACCGGCUGUGGCUGCUCUGCUAUGCAGCAGCUGAAGCAGAACCAGAACUCGCUCAUGCUCAACGGUCCUUACGUGUCCAUUCCUGCUCAAGAUGGCCGCCGGGGAUAUAAAGAGGCAACAGAGAUGGACACGGGACGUGCGUCUCGGUGGAGGCCGUGCUCAGGUUUUAACGCGUUUGAGGUGUGCGAGAUCGCAUCAGGAACAGCCAAGCCAACCCUGGACCAGGAAGGAGACCGCCACAGCAGGUUAUUCCCCAGCACGAAUCAGCAAGACCUGCAACAAGGCGAGAAUAAACACGGCCUUUAGUUCAAUAUAUUAAACAUUUACUGCCGUCAUUAAACACACAAUAAUA